rnacentral:rRNA from 1 species
GGUCAAGCUACAAAGGGCUCACGGCGGAUACCUUGGCACACAGAGGCGAUGAAGGACGUGGUUACCUGCGAUAAGUCUCGGGGAGCUGGAAGCACUCUUUGAUCCGGGAAUUUCCGAAUGGGGCAACCCUUUAAUACGGCCAGCUGAAUACAUAGGCUGGCGCGAGCCAACCCAGCGAACUGAAACAUCUUAGUAGCUGGAGGAAAGGAAAGUAAAAACGACUCCCUA